CCUACGGGUGGCAGCAGUGGGGAAUAUUGGGCAAUGGGCGCAAGCCUGACCCAGCAACGCCGCGUGAAGGAAGAAGGCUCUCGGGUUGUAAACUUCUUUUUUCAGGGACGAAGAAAGUGACGGUACCUGAGGAAUAAGCCACGGCUAACUACGUGCCAGCAGCCGCGGCAAUACGUCGGUGGCAAGCGUUAUCCGGAUUUAUGGGGUGUAAAGGGCGUGUAGGCGGGAGCGCAAGUCAGAUGUGAAAACACAGGGCUCAACCCUGGGCCUGCAUUUGAUACUGUGUUUCUUGAGUGCUGGGGAGGCAAUCGGAAUGCCGUGUGUAGCGGUGAAAUGCGUAGAUAUCCGGCGGAACACCAGUGGCGAAGGCAGAUUACUGGACAGUAACUGACGCUGAGGCGCGAAAGCGUGGGGAGCAAACAGGAUUAGAUACCCGUGUAGUC
rnacentral:rRNA from 1 species